rnacentral:rRNA from 1 species
UACGGAGGGUGCGAGCGUUGUCCGGAAUCACUGGGCGUAAAGGGCGCGUAGGUGGCGCGGCAAGUCAGCGGUGAAAGCUCGACGCUCAACGUCGAGUCGGCCGUCGAUACUGCUGGGCUUGAGCACUGUAGAGGCAGAUGGAAUUCCGGGUGUAGCGGUGGAAUGCGUAGAGAUCCGGAAGAACACCGGUGGCGAAGGCGGCCUGCUGGGCAGUAGCUGACACUGAGGCGCGACAGCGUGGGGAGCAAACAGG